rnacentral:misc_RNA from 1 species
UACAGAGGCCUCAAGCGUUGUUCGGAAUUACUGGGCGUAAAGCGGGUGUAGGCGGUGGCGCAAGUCAGAUGUGAGAGCCCUGGGCUCAACCUAGGAAGUGCAUUUGAUACUGCGUCACUGGAGUACGGUAGAGGAAGGUGGAAUUCCCGGUGUAGGGGUGAAAUCCGUAGAUAUCGGGAGGAAUACCAAUGACGAAAGUAGCCUUCUAGGCCGUAACUGACGCUGAGACCCGAAAGCGUGGGUAGCAAACAGG